AAGUCGUAACAAGGUUUCCGUAGGUGAACCUGCGGAAGGAUCAUUAACACUUUUAAUUGAUGGUUUUCCCUUUUCUUUUUCUUUAACACGAAAAGAAAAGGCCAAGCCUAAUCCAAACCAAAUUACCCAAACUUUUUAUUAAGUGCUGGUGUUUUGCAAAUUCAUCUUUGCGAAACCAUUUUUCUUUUCUUUUUAAAGACCCCAAAUCUUUCAUUGCAAAUGCAAUUGACAAUCUUAAAAAUACAAAAACUACUAAUGUAACCAAACAACUCUUAGCAACGGAUAUCUUGGCUCUC
rnacentral:misc_RNA from 1 species